rnacentral:lncRNA from 1 species
CAAUUGACACCCACCAACCUAGCUCUGAUACCACUUUGUUGAAACCACAAUGGCAAGAACAGGUUGACCUUAAACCAGAAUCAAACACACAAACUCGUGACACACUCUCUGACACACUUGCCGAUGUAAGUUAGAAAGUAUGUGUUUGCAGAAUAAUGGAGAACAUAAGAAGAACGCGGAAAAGAUAGAAGAUUUGGACACAAGAAAUUGUUUACCCAGAGUUCAUCUAAAAUGGCUACGUCUCUAGGGCCUGGUAAAGAGGCAAUUCACUAUAAUUUUAAGAACAAAGAUAUAUAACCUCUCUCUC